rnacentral:tRNA from 1 species
GGAAGGUUGGCAGAGUGGCUUAUUGCGCUUGGUUGCUAACCGAGUGAACGUUACCUUAGCGUUCCACUGGUUCGAAUCCAGUACCUUCCU